rnacentral:rRNA from 1 species
AUAUCAAUAAGCGGAGGAAAAGAAACCAACAGGGAUUGCCUUAGUAGCGGCGAGUGAAGCGGCAAAAGCUCAAAUUUGAAAUCUGGCUCUUUCAGAGUCCGAGUUGUAAUUUGAAGAAGGUAUCUUUGGGUCUGGCUCUUGUCUAUGUUUCUUGGAACAGAACGUCACAGAGGGUGAGAAUCCCGUGCGAUGAGAUGAUCCAGGCCUAUGUAAAGUUCCUUCGAAGAGUCGAGUUGUUUGGGAAUGCAGCUCUAAGUGGGUGGUAAAUUCCAUCUAAAGCUAAAUAUUGGCGAGAGACCGAUAGCGAACAAGUACAGUGAUGGAAAGAUGAAAAGAACUUUGAAAAGAGAGUGAAAAAGUACGUGAAAUUGUUGAAAGGGAAGGGCUUGAGAUCAGACUUGGUAUUUUGUAUGUUACUUCUUCGGGGGUGGCCUCUACAGUUUAUCGGGCCAGCAUCAGUUUGGGCGGUAGGAGAAUUGCGUUGGAAUGUGGCACGGCUUCGGUUGUGUGUUAUAGCCUUCGUCGAUACUGCCAGCCUAGACUGAGGACUGCGGUUUAUACCUAGGAUGUUGGCAUAAUGAUCUUAAGUCGC